UUCUAACCCUUCUUUUGUAUCUUUGUUAGCGGCUCAACGGAGUUGAGGAUGGUGGGAGGUUUGCCGAUCGAAAGCAAGAAGCGGUAGGGGGAUGAAGUGCGAUCGUCUUCAGCGAUUUCCUUGCAAAUGCCACCAUUAACUUUUUUUUUUUUUUAAGAUUGCCACAUCAUAUUAUACCUCCACUGUUAAAUUGGAUGAAAACUUAGCGGAAUCCCGUUAAAUGGUAGAUUUGAGAUUUAAAUUUGAGUUAUAUUUGAAAAACGCUCAAACCUUGGGCUAUACUUAGGUAUUCGGUUCAUACUGGUUUGGAAAUUUUC
rnacentral:lncRNA from 1 species